GCGGCCGCCGCCAUCUUACGUUGUCUGCGGGCUGCCCUCCCCUCGGGCCAGCUCUGCCCUCCCCCCUGCGGCCCCGCGCUGCGCCCUCCUCCCCGCCGGGCUCCGCGAGGGGCCGGGGGAGAGCCGGGAGGGAAGGGAAAGGAGGAAGGGAAGAAGGGAAAAGGAAGGCAGAACGCAGCGGGAGGAGGACGCGGCUCUGCGGAGGAAGAGCGGGUGCCGCCUGUUAUAAAGGGGGAGGAGGCGGAGGGGGAAGGAAGAGCGUGUGGAGCGGAGCCUCCUCCAGAGACAGCCAGACACGGAGGGAGGAGAGAGCGGCUGCCUGCCUGCCUGGCUCCCCCGGCCUCCCUCCCUCCUUUUCAUGGACUCCCUCGCCGGGCUGCCGCUUUUCUUCCCUCCUCCUUCCGUCUCUCGGCUCCCCAAAAUGAUUCAGCUCCAUGGCUGCCACUGACGGGGAUGUCCCUGCCCGGCUCAGCCUGCCGCUGCCUCCCUGCCGUGCGCCAGUCCCCCUGACUCAGCCGCAGACAUUAGUGCUAGGAAGAUGGCGCACCCGGCGAUGUUUCCUAGAAGGGGCAGCAGCAGUAGCAGCGGCAGCAGCUGCGUUACUGCUCCCACUGCACCAGGUACCGGCGUCGGGAGCGCUGCCCUCUCUGCCGAGGAUUAUCAGCCGCCCUUGCUGGUCCAGCCGCCGCCUCCAUCUCCUGCAGCAUCUUCGUCGGCGGGUCCACAGCCGACACCCCCUCCUCCACAAAGCCUGAACCUCCUCUCGCAGUCUCAGCUCCAGCCACAGCCUCUCGCGCAGACUGGAGCUCAAAUGAAAAAGAAAAGUGGCUUCCAGAUUACCAGCGUGACCCCUGCUCAAAUAUCGGCUAGCAUGAGCUCUAAUAACAGCAUAGCCGAAGAUACCGAAAGCUACGAUGACCUGGAUGAGUCCCACACUGAAGACCUGUCCUCUUCAGAAAUCUUGGAUGUUUCUUUAUCCAGGGCCACUGACUUAGGAGAACCUGAGAGGAGCUCCUCUGAAGAGACUUUAAAUAACUUCCAAGAGGCAGAGACUCCUGGGGCUGUUUCUCCAAACCAGCCUCACCUUCCUCAGCAGCACCCUUCUCUGCCUCAUCAUCCACAGCAGGGCGUUGUGAUCAAUGGAAGUGUUCACCCCCAUCAUGUUCACCACCACCAUCAUCUUCACCACCACCACCACGGACACCAUCAUCCAUCGCAUCCUGGGGUGGGCAGUACCCCGAUUUCUGGAGGACCACCACCCAGUCCAUCGUUUAGAAAACUAUCAACAACUGGAAGCUCUGACAAUGUUAUAUCAACUGCACCGGGUUCUGCUGCAUCAUCCACUGGUUCCCCCGCAUCUGUCGCGUCUAAUAUCCGCACUACGAGCACUCCUGGCAAUUUAGGUGUAAGUCCUGCUUCUGGAACUAGUACCUUAAAUAAUAUGGGCGGUGGUAGCUCUAGUGUGGCAAGCAGCAUGCUUGGUACUAUAAAUUUAAGCAACAUCACAAGUACUGGUAAUGUAAAUGCUUUGCCUGGAACUAGCAGCAAUGUUAAUGUGAAUAUCUUGAGUGGUGUUGGCAAUGGUACGAGUGCUUCCUCUAGUGUCAUUAACAACGUUACUAAUCCAACUGCAGGAGUGGCAGUGGGAUCAAGCCAGCAGCAGCCUGCAUCUGGCACAUCAAGGUUUAGAGUUGUAAAAUUAGAUUCUAGUUCCGAACCUUUCAAAAAAGGUAGAUGGACAUGCACUGAAUUCUAUGAUAAAGAAAGCACUGCUGCAGUUUCAGAAGGAGUAGCAGUAAACAAAGCAGUAGAGACGAUAAAACAAAACCCGCUUGAAGUGACUUCUGAAAGGGAGAGCACCAGUGGGAGUUCUGUUAGCAGCAAUGUAAGCACACUGAGUCACUAUACAGAAAGUGUGGGAAGUGGAGAAAUGGGAGCACCUACUGUGGUACAGCAGCAAGCGUUUCAAGGUGUGGGUCCACAGCAGAUGGAUUUUAGCAGCGCUGCUCCUCCGGCAAUUCCAGCAUCUAGUAUACCACAGAGUGUUUCUCAAUCACAGCUUGCACAAGUCCAGCUGCAUUCUCAAGAGGUAAACUAUCCGCAGCAGAAGCCAGGGGUCCAGCCUCCUGCACAGGCCAGUCUAACCACUGUUCCUGGGGUUCAGCCAGCCCCGGUUAAUAUCCUAGGUGUAACCCCGUCUCUGGGCCACCAGCAGCCUGCCAUUCAGAGCAUGGCUCAGCAGCAGCUGCCGUACCCUCAGCCGGCGCAGCCCGUGCAGACGUUGCCGGUUGUACAACAGCAGCAGUUGCAGUACGGACAGCAGCAGCAGCAACAAACGGUUCCUACGCAGAUGGCCGCAGGUCACGUUAAGCCGGUGAACCAAAACUCUGUUACAGGGGCCAUGCCGGAGUACAUCCAGCAUCAGCAGAUCCUCCAGCCCCCGGCGCCUGCUAUGCAGCCCAGUUCUGCCGCAGUAGGAGCGGGGCCGCCGGUUCCUGUCGCCCAGGCCCAGAGCAUGCAGCCUGCGGUACAAGCACACCCCGCUGCUGCCCCAGCUCAGCCUGUCGCGCACGCUCCAGCAGCCCUACCAGGCGUAGGUACCGGCGGCCAAAUGCUGAGCGUCGGGCAGCAAGGAAGCGUAGCCGCUGUGGUGCAACCACCGCCUGCUGCAAACCAAAUCCCACCUCCGGUCAUGCCGUCGACAGCUGCUCCUCCAUCUUCACAAGUGGUGCAGCCUGUGCAGACAGGAAUAAUGCAGCAGGGGUUACAGGCCGGCGCUUCGGGCCUUCCCCAGCAAAUGGUCAUUGCUCAACAAAACGCUUUGUUACCUGUGCAGCCGCAGGCGCAAGCGGUGGAGUCGGUGGUCCAAGGAAUGACCGGCCAGCAGCUGCCUGCAGUUAGCCCUAUACCUUCUGCUAGUACUGUUCCUGCACCGAGUCAAGCUGGUUCAGCUGUGCCUCCUGGCAUACCUUCUGCCUCUAUAGGUUUGGGACAGCCACAGAACAUAGCGCAGGCUUCGGCUGUGCAGAACGGGAAUUUGGCUCCGAGCGUUAGUCAGCCUCCGUUGAUAUCAACAAGUAUAGGUAUGCCGGUGGCACAGAGUGUGCCGCAGCAGAUACCGCUAAGCUCUGCCCAGUUCCCCGCACAAUCACUAGCUCAGUCAGUCGGAAGCCAAAUCGAAGAUGGCAGACGCCCCACAGAACCUUCCCUCGUUGGUUUACCUCAAGCUGCCAGUGGCGAGAGCGGCGUCGGAGCGCCAGCCGUCUCCGACGGCACUAGCAGCAGCGUGCCAUCCUCUGCUUCCCUCUUCCCGCUGAAGGUGCUGCCGCUGACGACGCCCCUCGUAGAUGGUGAGGAUGAGAGAUACAGAAUGGCAGUCAAACAUUGCACACUGGUAUGCCUGUGAAGAGGCACUGCCAAAGUUAAUUGUGUCUAGUGCAAAAGCUGGGAGUUCUGGCUGACCUAAGCAGAUGGUCUUCCACAGAAUUUACUCACAGUCGUUUAGACUUUUCUUUACUGGCUAUGGAGCAGAACCACACUGCAGAAAAAUGGGGAUCAGUCUUCACUGUCUCUUGAUCUACUUAGUGGCAGUAAAACCUGCUGUGUAGAGAACGUAGAAAAAAACACUAAAGGGAGCUUUGCUCCCAGCAUUUCUAUCGACUGUCAGGUCACUAUGGAAAGACAAAGACACUGCGUUGAUCCCUUUCUUCCCACAAAGGAGAUGAAAGCGUCUAUUGUAAGAUUCCUUAAUGUCUUCUGUAUGCUCAGAAGCAGACAUACCAGGGCCUUCCUGACCUCAUCUUUAUCUGAAGAUCAUCUGCAUAUGCUGUUCUUGUCAUCAGAGCCAGACUUUUUCCCUGCUCCAACUAGAUGGAUCCCAUCACAGCCUGCACUUGAGGUUUUGUGUUGGAUCUUUGUCUCCUCUACAGAACUGCUACAUGAAUAGAAUAUGACCAAGUAAUCUUCUUCUCCACACCCACUGAAGCCUGAAUAGUCUUUCUGCCUCCCUACCCUGGAAGUAUGGAGUCCCUGCCUCAGCCUACGGCUUCAUUCUUUUUCCAGCUGCCCACAAAAGUAAAGAACCAGUGUGAAAGUUUGAAGAAAGAAUCCGCUCAGAGGACUGAGUCUCAAGCAAAAGCUCCAGGUUGCAGACUCAGAAAGAAACUUCCUUUGGGGAAGGAUCUGCUUCCAGGAUUUGCUCGUCUCUUUUUCCUUGGGCAAACAGAGUUCUUGAAGCAAACAACAGGGUUGCAGGUAGGUAGGGCCCCUUUGAACCGCCAUCCACUCAGGUGUGAAGGAUGGACUUUAUGCUGUUUCUCUAUGCUUUUUUUUGUUGAUGUUGUCUUCCACUUCUCUAGGCUGAGAGAGAGAAAGUGUGAGCAGCUUAACGAAAAACGUGGGGGAGAGAGAGAGGAGAAAAAAUAUCCUGGGUACUCGGAAAGAAUGUUUUUAUACCUCUGCAUAAGCUUCCUGUUCAUGGGGUCACAUUUGCACUGGAGCUCUUUGAGGCUCUAAUGGCACUCUUCGUCUGACCCUCUUCUAUACAGGAAGCUAAGUCAAGUAGAAUUUGGUGGCUAGGGCCUAGGUAAAGCCAGUGAUUGAUUGUACAAGGCCCAUAGCCACAUCAUUUUCAUCUCCUCCCUGUCUCUUUACACCAAUGUUAGUUAGCUUUGGAUGUGCAGUAAAGGUAGAGGCGACCAGGUGGGUUUGAAAUCCUCCUUGGUUCCCAGCAGUGACAGUGUUCCCCAGUUCUAAACGUGUAAAUAUGUUCUUCCUUCAGAGGAGUCUGUGGCUGCUGGGUUUGUCCUGUUUCUUUCUCCAUGUGAAGGAAACUGACUGGAAUGCUCUGAGAAAGGAAGGGGAUGUGCUGCUAAGCCACUCAAUCAGCAGUUCCUAAGGCCCAGAUAUGGGCUAUCAGUCCAAUCAGUUCAGGUAAAUUCUGCCUUCCUUGCUUCACGCUGUGCAGAGCAACAGCCUCUUCCGUGCAAACAUCAGUAGCCCAAAGUCAGACCUUUCUUUUUCUCCAGCUAUGUCACUGCUGACACGGGAAAUUUAUUCCCAAUUUCCUUUAGAUUUUUUUAGCAAAAGGUGUCACCUGAAAAGUGGCAAUAUAAUUCUAAGGAGAUUUUACCAGUUCCUCUUUGAUGCUGAGUGAAGUCAUUUGGAACUAUGUUACGUGCAUUAUUACUUUUGGUGCAUCUUGUGACUCUUCUCUCCCUCUUCAUUCCCUCCAAAUCGCUUCAGGACACCUUCUAACCUUUAUACUGCGUCACAAGACUUCAGCAGAAGAUCUUAAGAACCAUUUAUGUUGCUGGAAGAUGACUGGGUUUGGAUCUUGGCCUUCCUUAAGCAGGAUCUGCUGGCAAAAAUGGGAUUGGGAAAGAAAUGACUCCUUUUACAUCACACAGAGCCACCCUAGAUAUGGAAGCAUAGGCAGAGAAUUACUUCUAACAGGGGAUUCCUUAGGAAACUUGUUUGGCCUCCCAUGGUCCUGUUGUUACAAUGUCAUAAAGCUGUUUUUUUUGUUUUUUUUUAUAAAACAACUAAACCUGGCACCUUGCUAUCUAAUGAAGAUGAAAUCAAUAAAUCCAAGUUUAAGAGUUAACAGGUCUAACAAUGUGAUCAGAUCUUGCUGACCCCUGUGUGGGAGAUGCCACGUGAAAUCUGUGAAACAGGGUUCUGCUGUGGUUCGGACUGAUACAUUUGUAAAGCCUCUUCUACUUAUAGCCCGUUUAAAUGAUGAUAAAGCGCAUAAUGAAGAUUCUUAUGGAAAUGACAUUUAAUUAGGCUUUCCACCUCUUCAAUUUUGUUUAAAAAAAAAAAAAAGCCAAAAAUGUCAAUGGCAUUGUGAAAAGUACUGCAUCUUUUGAGGUUUCCUAUGGUUUUCUGUAGAUAAAAGGUAUAUUGGAAGUGCUGAGAGCUGUGGAAGUAGAAAAACAUAUUUUUCUUUAAAAAUUAUUUGAGGAUUGAAAAGUUAUUUGUUAGAAAGCAGAAAGCUCUAAUUGUCUUCCCCUAAGGGGAUUCUGCAGUCGAACUUAAAUUAAAUGUCUUGCAGGAUCUCAAAUAAAAACCUUAUGUUUGGCAGGAGUGACAAACACACGCAUGCCCAUGUACUUCUGUUCUUUUCACUAUAGGAAAUGACUUUUGAACAAUAAGAGUGACUUUUAAUGUUCAGAUUAGGAGAGGGGGAAGCUUUGCUCUGAAGCUGUGUGUGAGAAGGGGUGGCAGGAGGGUGGACCGGACCCUCUGGCAGUAGGUAAAGAGCACUCUGAUUUUCCUGUUUUCUGCUUCUGGCACUUGGAGGAAAGUAGACGCUCGUGCUUGAAUCCAGUUAAUUUCUGAAAUCAGUCACCAUGAAAACAUUGUUUUUAACUAAUGCCUAGAACUUUCAUUAAAUUCACCAGCAUAUUUAAAUUGUUGAACUGUCUUAAUGUAGCCCCGAGGCUACUGCUUCAUGGCAGUUGUGACUUCUUAUUAUGCUGGAAUGCAUUGCAGUCUUGGUACAUUCUAAAAAUAAUUGUUCAGAUGGUGCUGUUUAAGUGCAUACUUAUGUAGUGAGCCAUUUUCAUUGGACUUCUUGAAAUUUGGCUCUGGUGGAUGGCUUUACAACUUUUUUGCCAUGAAUAUCAGACUACUUUGUCUUGCUUCUUCUGUGGUUAUCAAGUAAAAUGCUAAAUUUAUGAUGUGAUAUUUUUAGAAAACUGAUGCAUGUGUUAAACUAUGCAACCACAGUCACACUUCUGCACUUUAAAGUUUAAAGAAAUCAGUUUAAUGUAUCAAAUUCAAUGGUUUUUAAUUUAAAAAAAAAUGUGGAAACGUGUGCAUAUGUGUAUGGUGACUCUGAGUAGUUGUUACAGGUACAGACCUUUGGACAUGAAUUGUGUGCAUAACAGGAGUAAUCUGGAAGUUAGAAGCGGAAGAUCUGUGAGUCUUAGAAAUAAAUACUAACAUCUGUGGCUUGAGAUCUCUGCCAGCGGUGCUUUUAGUUGAAAAUACCUGUGCUUUUCUAACUUGUGGUCUGUUUAAGGUCUGAUGAUGUUUUGUGCCUUCCCUAAUAGGUACACUUACCUCAGCCACAGUUCUUGGUCACUGUGUUCUGUAGAGUAAGGUAAAUUUAAGACCAUGAAAUACUUGUGAACACGAAAUGCUUACGGUGAAAUAACAGGGGCACUGAGAACUUUCUAAUGUUAUUGUCUCAGUUGCUGUCUCUUGGGAGACCUAAAAUGACUUCACUUGUCCCCCUCCUCUCUGUAGUA